rnacentral:rRNA from 1 species
UCGUCAAGAAAAGCCGCUAUUGUUUAUACCGUACCCGUACCGUAAACCGACACAGGUGGAUGAGGAGAGAAUCCUAAGGCCGGCGGAAGAAGCAUUGUCAAGGAACUCGGCAAAAUGGCCCCGUAACUUAGGGAUAAGGGGUGCCUGGGAAACCAGGCCGCAGAGAAUAGGCUCAAGCAACUGUUUAGCAAAAACACAGGUCUAUGCGAAACCGAAAGGUGAGGUAUAUGGGCUGACGCCUGCCCGGUGCUGGAAGGUUAAGAGGAGAGGUUAGCGCAAGCGAAGCUUUGAAUUUAAGCCCCAGUAAACGGCGGCCGUAACAAUAACGGUCCUAAGGUAGCGAAAUUCCUUGUCGGGUAAGUUCCGACCCGCACGAAAGGCGUAAUGAUUUGAGCGCUGUCUCGACAAUGCAUCCGGUGAAAUUGAAGUACCAGUGAAGAUGCUGGUUACCUGCGCCAGGACGGAAAGACCCCAUGGAGCUUUACUCCAGUCUGGUACUGGGACUCGGUAUUGCAUGUACAGGAUAGGUGGGAGGCUAGGAGAUGGUAACGCCAGUUGCCAUGGAGCCGCUGUUGGGAUACCACCCUUGCAGUAUUGGGUUUCUAACCAGCCGCCGUGACCCGGCGGUGGGACAAUGCCAGACGGGGAGUUUGACUGGGGCGGUCGCCUCCGAAAGGGUAUCGGAGGCGCCCAAAGGUUCCCUCAGAAUGGACGGAAACCAUUCGAAGAGUGCAAAGGCAGAAGGGAGCUUGACUGCGACACCGACGGGUGGAGCAGGUACGAAAGUAGGGCUUAGUGAUCCGGUGGUAUUAAGUGGGAAUGCCAUCGCUCAACGGAUAAAAGCUACCCUGGAUAACAGGCUUAUCACUCCCAAGAGUUCACAUCGACGGAGUGGUUUGGCACCUCGAUGUCGGCUCAUCGCAUCCUGGGGCUGUAGUAGGUCCCAAGGGUUGGGCUGUUCGCCCAUUAAAGCGGUACGCGAGCUGGGUUCAGAACGUCGUGAGACAGUUCGGUCCCUAUCCGGCGUGGGCGUAGGAUAUCUGAGAGGAGCUGUCCUUAGUACGAGAGGACCGGGAUGGACGGGCCGCUGGUGCAUCGGUUAGACUGCCAAGUCUACGGCCGAGUAGCCAAGCCCGGAAGGGAUAAACGCUGAAGGCAUCUAAGCGUGAAGCCCCCCUUAAGAUGAGAUAUCCCAUUCGUUAAGAAGUAAACCCCCUUGAAGACGACGAGGUAGAUAGGGCAGAGGUGGAAGUGCAGCAAUGCAUGGAGCUGACUGUUACUAAUCGGGUGAGGGCUUGACCGA